rnacentral:rRNA from 1 species
UACACGAAAAUCUCUUAUCAAUGAAAUCGAGUAGGACGGAGCACGAGAAACUUUGUCUGAAUAUGGGGGGACCAUCCUCCAAGGCUAAAUACUACUGACUGACCGAUAGUGAACCAGUACCGUGAGGGAAAGGCGAAAAGAACCCCGGAGAGGGGAGUGAAAUAGAACCUGAAACCGUAUGCGUACAAGCAGUGGGAGCCUACUUUGUUAGGUGACUGCGUACCUUUUGUAUAAUGGGUCAGCGACUUAUAUUCAGUGGCGAGCUUAACCGAAUAGGGGAGGCGUAGCGAAAGCGAGUCUUAAUAGGGCGUUUAGUCGCUGGGUAUAGACCCGAAACCGGGCGAUCUAUCCAUGGGCAGGUUGAAGGUUAGGUAACACUGACUGGAGGACCGAACCGACUACCGUUGAAAAGUUAGCGGAUGACCUGUGGAUCGGAGUGAAAGGCUAAUCAAGCUCGGAGAUAGCUGGUUCUCCUCGAAAGCUAUUUAGGUAGCGCCUCAUGUAUCACUGUAGGGGGUAGAGCACUGUUUCGGCUAGGGGGUCAUCCCGACUUACCAAACCGAUGCAAACUCCGAAUACCUACAAGUGCCGAGCAUGGGAGACACACGGCGGGUGCUAACGUCCGUCGUGAAAAGGGAAACAACCCAGACCGUCAGCUAAGGUCCCAAAGUCAUGGUUAAGUGGGAAACGAUGUGGGAAGGCUUAGACAGCUAGGAGGUUGGCUUAGAAGCAGCCACCCUUUAAAGAAAGCGUAAUAGCUCACUAGUCGAGUCGGCCUGCGCGGAAGAUGUAACGGGGCUCAAACCAUGCACCGAAGCUACGGGUAUCACCUUUUGGUGAUGCGGUAGAGGAGCGUUCUGUAAGCCUGUGAAGGUGAGUUGAGAAGCUUGCUGGAGGUAUCAGAAGUGCGAAUGCUGACAUGAGUAACGACAAUGCGAGUGAAAAACUCGCACGCCGAAAGACCAAGGUUUCCUGCGCAACGUUAAUCGACGCAGGGUUAGUCGGUCCCUAAGGCGAGGCUGAAAAGCGUAGUCGAUGGAAAACAGGUUAAUAUUCCUGUACUUCCAGUUAUUGCGAUGGAGGGACGGAGAAGGUUAGGCCAGCCUGGCGUUGGUUGUCCAGGUUUAAGGUGGUAGGCUGAAAUCUUAGGCAAAUCCGGGAUUUCAAGGCCGAGAGCUGAUGACGAGUUGCCUUUAGGCGACGAAGUGGUUGAUACCAUGCUUCCAAGAAAAGCUCCUAAGCUUCAGAUAACUGGGAACCGUACCCCAAACCGACACAGGUGGUUAGGUAGAGAAUACCAAGGCGCUUGAGAGAACUCGGGUGAAGGAACUAGGCAAAAUGGCACC